rnacentral:misc_RNA from 1 species
UCUCCGUAGGUGAACCUGCGGAGGGAUCAUUACAGAGUUCGUGCCCUCACGGGUAGAUCUCCCACCCUGUGUUAUUAUACCUUUGUUGCUUUGGCGGGCCGCCCUCGGCUACCGGCCCCGGCUGGUACGCGCCAGCCAGAGGACCCCAAACUCUAAAUGUUAGUGUCGUCUGAGUACUUUACAAUAGUUAAAACUUUCAACAACGGAUCUCUUGGUUCUG